rnacentral:tRNA from 1 species
GGGCCCGUAGUCGAAUGGUUAAGACGCCACUCUCACAAGGUGGAGAGUCAGGGUUCGAUUCCCUGCGGGCCCA